rnacentral:lncRNA from 1 species
UUGGUAUCAGAGCCCCGUUGUCUUCGGACUGCGUGGGUUAUGUGUGUCAAUCAGAGCAAGUCUGUGCAGUCAGACUGAGUGUGCGUAGUGUCAGUCGCGUUUGUGUAUCUCUUGUGUCUUCUUGUGAUGUAAUUUUGUAGUUACACUUGCACAUUAGUCACUAUUUAAUUAUUUUGCAAAUAUGUGUGAUUAGUUUGUUGAAUCUUGUUGUUAUUGACAUGUGUUUUACUUGAUUCUUGAGACUAGUAUUUUAAUUGAUAUUGAAUUUAGCACUUAUAAUUCUCGCUUCAUGUUUGAUUGCUAAAAUGAUGAUUGUUAAAAUGC